rnacentral:lncRNA from 1 species
AUGGAUACAGACACAGACACACGGACACACCUGGACAACAGAAAGAAAGGGGUGACAUCAGCAUGCCAGCUCUCACACUCUCCUCCUCCUCUUCUCUCUCUCUCUCUCUCUCUCUCUCUCUCUCUCUCUCUCUCUCUCUCUCUCUCUCUCUCUCUCUCUCUCUCUCAUCCUUCUCUCUCUCUCUCUCUCUCUCUCUCUCAUCCUUCUCUCUCUCUCUCUCAUCCUUCUCUCUCUCUCUCUCUCAUCCUUCUCUCUCUCUCUCUCUCUCAUCCUCCUCUCUCUCUCUCCUCUCUCUCCCUCUCUUUCUCAUCUUCCUCUCUCCUCUCUCUUUCUCAUCUUCCUCUCUCCUCUCUCUCUCAUCCUCCUCUCUCCUCUCUCUCUCUCUCAUCCUCCUCUCUCUCUCAUCCUCCUCUCUCCUCUCUCCUCUCUCCCUCUCUCAUCCUCCUCUCCUCUCUUUCUCAUCUUCCUCUCUCUCUUUCUCAUCUUCCUCUCUCUCUCUCUCAUCCUCCCCUCUCUCUCUCUCAUCCUCCUCUCUCCUCUCUCUCUCUCUUUCAUCCUCCUCUCUCCUCUCUCUCUCUCUUUCAUCCUCCUCUCUGCUCUCUCUCUCUCUUUCAUCCUCCUCUCUCCUCUCUCUCUCUCAUCCUCCUCUCUCCUCUCUCUCAUCCUCCUCUCUCCUCUCUCUCUCUCUCAUCCUCCUCUCUCCUCUCCCUCUCUCUUUCUCAUCUUCCUCUCUCCUCUCUCUUUCUCAUCUUCCUCUCUCUCUUUCUCAUCUUCCUCUCUCUCUCUCUCAUCUUCCUCUCUCUCUCUCUCAUCCUCCUCUCUCUCUCUCAUCCUCCUCUCUCCUCUCUCUCCCUCUCUCUCAUCCUCCUCUCCUCUCUUUCUCAUCUUCCUCUCUCUCUUUCUCAUCUUCCUCUCUCUCUCUCUCAUCCUCCUCUCUCCUCUCUCUCUCUUUCAUCCUCCUCUCUCCUCUCUCUCUCUUUCAUCCUCCUCUCUCCUCUCUCUCUCUUUCAUCCUCCUCUCUCCUCUCUCUCUCUCUUUCAUCCUCCUCUCUUCUCUCUCUCCCUCUCUCAUCCUCCUCUCCUCUCUCCUCUCUCUUUCUCAUCUUCCUCUCUCUCUCUCUCUCUCAUCUUCCUGUCUCUCUCUCAUCUUCCUCUCUCUCUCUCUCUCAUCUUCCCCUCUCUCUCUCUCAUCCUCCUCUCUCUCUCUCUCAUCCUCCUCUCUCUCUCUCUCAUCCUCCUCUCUCUCUCUCUCAUCCUCCUCUCUCUCUCUCAUCCUCCUCUCUCUCUCUCUCAUCCUCCUCUCUCUCUCUCUCUCAUCCUCCUCUCUCCUCUCUCUCUCUCUCAUCCUCCUCUCUCCUCUCUCUCUCUCUCUCUCAUCCUCCUCUCUCCUCUCUCUCUCUCUCUCAUCCUCCUCUCUCCUCUCUCUCUCUUUCAUCCUCCUCUCUCCUCUCUCUCUCUCUCUUUCAUCCUCCUCUCUCCCCUCUCUCUCUCUCUUUCAUCCUCCUCUCUCCUCUCUCUCUCUCUCUUUCAUCCUCCUCUCUCCUCUCUCUCUCUCUCUUUCAUCCUCCUCUCUCCUCUCUCUCUCUCUCAUCCUCCUCUCCUCUCUCCUCUCGCUUUCUCAUCUUCCUCUCUCCUCUCGCUUUCUCAUCUUCCUCUCUCCUCUCUCUUUCUCAUCUUCCUCUCUCUCUUUCUCAUCUUCCUCUCUCUCUCUCUCAUCCUCCUCUCUCUCAUCCUCCUCUCUCUCUCUCUCUCUCUCUCCUCUCUCUCUCUCUCUCAUCCUCCUCUCUCCUCUCUCUCUCUCUCAUCCUCCUCUCUCCUCUCUCUCAUCCUCCUCUCUCUCUCAUCCUCCUCUCUCCUCACACAUAAGGACAAUGAUGAAUGUUCACAGAUGAAACCCCUUUCUAAAUUAAUGUUAAUAUAA